GUGGCCAUCCCCAAAAUGCACCAGAAUACGGGAAAUCAUAUCUACCAAAUUCAAAAUUGUGUAGCUUCUCUCAGCUCACGUUUAGUUGAAGUGUGCAGUCAUGUGGCCCUCCGAUGGUUAUGAUGAAAAAUGUGGCCCUCUUUAUCAUGAAAGUUGCCCAUCCCUGAAACACUUCACACAUUUCCCUUCUUUAGCGAAAGUCAAGAUUCACCUUGCAGCAUUUUACCAAUUCAGGACAGAUUUAUAAGAAAAGUCUAAUGGAAAUGUAUAGAAAUAUGCUUGACAUAUUAUGACAACUUGUUCAACCAUUUUGCAUGCAAAGACUUAUGCAAUGAACUAAUGCCUAAAUGUUGUGGGGUUGAGACUAUUCAAUACUAUUCCAUUACAAUACAUUUGGAUCAACAUGACAUAAGCAAUUGAUAAUGUAGGAAAGAGCAGAGAAUUGUACAUAAUCAUUUGCAUGAAUGUACCAAAGCAUUUGCAACUUGUUCAAAGAAAUGAGAAACUGCUUUUUUGAUGUGCACAAGUGACACAAUGAUGUGAAGAUUGAACAGGUAGUUUUGAGCAUUUCAAUUCUGAUCUGAGGAAUGUACAGAUCAGUACAUUCUUUUUUUGAGCAUUUCAAUUCUGAUCUGAGGAAUGUACAGAUCAGUACAUUCUGAUCUGUACAUUCAUCAGAAUGUACAGAUCAGAAUGUAGCAAAGCGACUGAGAAAAACUGUAAUUUCUUUCCAAAGAUUCUAGUCUGAAUUUAUAUUUAUAGAUACAGUAUCUUGGCAUAGCCUUUAAAGCUCAAAAACUCAUAGCUCUAAUCCUUACAUCAUUAUAUAAAUAUAAAAUAUUCAUGACAACAUUCUGCAAAAAAAAUGACUUUUAUUCAUUUUCUUAGCAUUUCAAAUAAUCUCCGACAUUAUGAAUUAGCAUAUAGAAAUAUAUUUCAAAUACGGUACCACACAAGAUACAGCUGGUAAACGCAUGUUCAAGGAUAUAAAUACUGCCUAAUCUUCACCAUGUACAUUAUCAUCAACAUUGUGCAUACUUCUCAUUUGUAUGGAUGCCACUAUUAUAUCUGCAAUUGUUGACUGUUGAAAUGCCUUACAGUAGAGACAGUUUACAAACGUACAUUAUUUACAAAGGACGACUUGAGAUGGUCUGUCGGAUGAGUCCUAGGCUUCCUCCAAACAGCCUCAAAUCGUCUCCUUCUUCAUUCCUAAGUGCUUGGAAGGAACUCCAACUUAUUCACAGUCAUAUAACAAGUUGUUUCUACCACACACACACACGCAUGUAACACCAGGCUGCUAUGCUAGAGUCAAGCUAGAGGAAAUCCUAGGCCUUGAAGAGACCGUCCGGUACACUGAUAUACAGCCAGAGGGAUGGAGAGACCGUCCAGUACACUGAUAUACAGCCAGAGGGAUGGAGAGACCGUCCAGUACACUGAUAUACAGCCAGAGGGAUGGAGAGACCGUCCAGUACACUGAUAUACAGCCAGAGGGAUGGAGAGACCGUCCAGUACACUGAUAUACAGCCAGAGGGAUGGAGAGACCGUCCAGUACACUGAUAUACAACCAGAGGGAUGGAGAGACCGUCCAGUACACUGAUAUACAGAGGGAUGGAGAGACCGUCCAGUACACUGAUAUAGAGAGGGAUGGAGAGACCGUCCAGUACACUGAUAUACAGAGGGAUGGAGAGACCGUCCAGUAUACUGAUAUACAGAGGGAUGGAGAGACCGUCCAGUCCACUGAUUAACAGAGGGAUGGAGAGACCGUCAAGUACACUGAUAUACAGCCAGAGGGAUGGAGAGACCGUCCAGUACACUGAUAUAGAGAGGGAUGGAGAGACCGUCCAGUACACUGAUAUACAGAUGGAUGGAGAGACCGUCCAGUACACUGAUAUACAGCCAGAGGGAUGGAGAGACCGUCCAGUACACUGAUAUACAGAGGGAUGGAGAGACCGUCCAGUACACUGAUAUACAGAGGGAUGGAGAGACCGUCCAGUCCACUGAUUAACAGAGGGAUGGAGAGACCGUCCAGUACACUGAUAUACAGAGGGAUGGAGAGACCGUCCAGUCCACUGAUUAACAGAGGGAUGGAGAGACCGUCCAGUACACUGAUAUACAGAGGGAUGGAGAGACCGUCCAGUCCACUGAUUAACAGAGGGAUGGAGAGACCGUCAAGUACACAGAUUUCAGAGGGAUGGAGAGACCGUCCAGUCCACUGAUUAACAGAGGGAUGGAGAGACCGUCUCCAGAGGGAUGUGUUGAGAGGUGCUGAUGACCUGGCGUUGGCACUGUUCACAUGGCAUGGUGAUGUGUGAUGGACACUGUCUGUACCGGGCUGUGGACCACAACAGGUUGGAGAGCCACAGUAACAUUAAUACUGUCAAAAACAGUCACUGAGGAACCAAAAUAAAACUUUCCGGAAAGUUUUAUUUUGAAGAAAUGUACUUUUUCAGAAACAAAGUAGAAAUCUCCUUAUGUCAUCACACUAAGAGAAAGGAGCUAAACAAAGAGGCAGAGAAAGCAGAACUGGGAAGCAACCAAAACAAAAAUUUGACCUGUCUGAGGUUCAGAAGGGGACUUUGGGUGACAUGAAAAAGCAUCCAUUCCUCUUCGUUAUCCACUGUUAAAAAACAAUGAGGUCUUUCUAAAACAGAGGUACCUGCAGAGGCCAUACCGCUCUGCGGGGAUGGGAAGAAGAGUCACUCUUCAGCACAAGACCCGGGGUUUAACCAGGAAGCCAAAGAAGAUCAGCCCUGAUCAGUACAUGACUAGGGUCCGGUGCCAUGACACGUAGAGCUUGGUUCAGCCACGAGGACGCUGGCCGUGUGGGUAGGACAGUAUGCUGGUCUAUGCUGACGCACACAUUGAGUUUUGGCAAAGUGAUCGAUGAUCGAGAGAGAAGAGAGAGCUGGUAAAAACAACAGCUGUGAACAAGAUUCACCACCAAGAAAUUGAAAGGGGUUUGAUUGAGGCUUCCACCGAGCCACAUCCAGUGGCAAGCCCCCAGCACACUGGACACAGGGCUGCAGCUGCACUCAGCCACGCCCCUCCCAAUGAGCCAAGACCCCCCCCCCCCAUGAGCCAAGAGCCCCCCAUGAGCACGGAGCCACCAUGUUCUCCCUUUACCUCCACAGAGGAGGCCAUUCGGUGAGUGAACCACGACAGUCUCUUUGAACAGAGAUAAUACCGACAAAUCUCACACACAUCAACAUCUUUUACCCUGACAAGAGCUUGACAGGAUCCCUCGAUGCUGAGGACACUAAAACCCCGUUCUCACGGCCACAGAGGCUGACGGCAGAGCGAGCCUUGGGAUUGGACGAUGCAAGCAGGCUGACGCCCUUCUCUUGGAAAGCAAUCGAUGAGCAGUAAAUUAUGGCACACUUUUGUGAUCUCCACUCCGAGUGAACGAGCGAGGGAGCUGAGAGAGAGUCCGGUCAUCUGUGCAAUCGGAUUUUGAAAAUAAAAAGCCAUUGAAUUUUAAGCACUGAAUAUUUAUGCAUUGAAAUAACGUAGGCCUAUCUGGAUUUUUUGCCUCUGAAUUUAAGCGCUCUCGUCCCAAAGUGGACAGCGGGCUUCAGAUCGCCCCAGCAUCACACCAAACGUAGGAAAAGGGACCUCCGAUCGCAUCAAAUGGGUGCCCUAAUAAUUUGGUCUCCUUAACCUACUACAACAAUUACCCUUACGCUGCAGGUAAAUCCAGACAGGUUACUGCAAUCACACACAUUUCACAUACAGGCAUUAGAUCAUAGUUUAUUUCAUACUGUAGUAAUAAACGGUGUGCAUUCUAACAAAAACAUAAAUAAAAGAUAAGAUCCCCCCCCCCCUCGAUAUUAAAUGUGCUUAAUAAAUACAGUUCAUUUAAUUUGAUUAGCAUUUUACAGACCGAUACAAUGGAUAGGGCGUUUAGUAAGGUCCCCAUAAAAAGCUACAGUCAGUGUUUAAUGACGUUGAUUUACCUUUGAGCAUUUCCUAUUAUAGGCUACUGUGUAAAAUUAUGUUUAGAAUUAACGUUUGUAUCAAAAAAGAAAGAACCGCUCUCCUUGCUUGACCACGAUCUAGCAUCUAGGAUAGAUUGCUCUUCGUUGGGGAUGUUAACACUGAAUUUCAUACAUUGAAUUUUGCAGGUGACUUUGGCAUGUUUAAUAUGGGGAUGUUAAAAAUAUUUAAGUAGAAUCUUUAAACGUUGAAUAUUUGAUUUUGAAUUAUUUUACAAUGAAAAAUAAAUGUGAAAUUGAUUUGUUGAAAAAGGUAAAGAGUUAUAUAUAGAGGCGAAAAAAUCCGAAAACGUUAUUUCAAUGCAUAAAUAUUCAGUGCUUAGAAUUCAAUGGCUUUUUAUUUUCAAAAUCCGAUGGCACAGAUUUACUUCCAUAGUCAUGGGUGCACAGUCUUCAUCCGGGCCAAUCGCAGCCGCCGAACAAGUUCAAUGAAAACAGAAACCCCUAUUGUUAUCGUCAUGCGGCUGGGAAACGCAAGCGGUAGAAACAGCUUUUUUUGUCAUUUUUUCAGAACAAAGA
ensembl:lncRNA